rnacentral:rRNA from 1 species
AGUGAACGCUGGCGGUAGGCCUAACACAUGCAAGUCGAACGGAAGCACAGUAAGAGCUUGCUCUUACGGGUGGCGAGUGGCGGACGGGUGAGGAAUACAUCGGCAUCUACUUUUUCGUGGGGGAUAACGUAGGGACACUUACGCUAAUACCGCAUACGACCUACGGGUGAGAGCAAGGGUUAUUCGGACCUUGCGCGAUUGAAUUAGACGAUGUCGGAUUAGCUAGUUGGUGGGGUAAAGGCCCACCAAGGCGACGAUACGUAGCUGGUCUGAGAGGAUGAUCAGCCACACUGGAACUGAGACACGGUCCAGACUCCUACGGGAGGCAGCAGUGGGGAAUAUUGGACAAUGGGCGCAAGCCUGAUCCAGCCAUACCGCGUGGGUGAAGAAGGCCUUCGGGUUGUAAAGCCCUUUUGUUGGGAAAGAAAAGCAGCAGGUUAAUACCCCGCUGUUCUGACGGUACCCAAAGAAUAAGCACCGGCUAACUUCGUG